rnacentral:rRNA from 1 species
AGUGGGGAAUAUUGCACAAUGGGCGCAAGCCUGAUGCAGCCAUGCCGCGUGUGUGAAGAAGGCCUUCGGGUUGUAAAGCACUUUCAGCGAGGAGGAAAGGUUGGCAGUUAAUACCUGUCGGCUGUGACGUUACUCGCAGAAGAAGCACCGGCUAACUCCGUGCCAGCAGCCGCGGUAAUACGGAGGGUGCGAGCGUUAAUCGGAAUUACUGGGCGUAAAGCGCGCGUAGGCGGUUUAUUAAGCCAGAUGUGAAAGCCCCGGGCUUAACCUGGGAACAGCAUUUGGAACUGGUGAACUAGAGUUUUGUAGAGGGUGGUAGAAUUUCAGGUGUAGCGGUGAAAUGCGUAGAGAUCUGAAGGAAUACCAGUGGCGAAGGCGGCCACCUGGACAAAAACUGACGCUGAGGUGCGAAAGCGUGGGGAGCAAA